rnacentral:rRNA from 1 species
UACAGAGGUGGCAAGCGUUGUUCGGAAUUACUGGGCGUAAAGGGCUCGUAGGCAGCCAACUAAGUCAUACGUGAAAUCCCUCGGCUUAACCGGGGAACUGCGUCUGAUACUGGAUGGCUUGAGUUCGGGAGAGGGAUGCGGAAUUCCCGGUGUAGCGGUGAAAUGCGCAGAUAUCGGGAGGAACACCGGUGGCGAAGGCGGUUCUCUGGGCCUGUACUGACGCUGAGGAGCGAAAGCGUGGGGAGCGAACAGG